AUACGUAGGGUGCGAGCGUUAAUCGGAAUUACUGGGCGUAAAGGGUGCGCAGGUGGUUUAUCAAGCCGUAUGUGAAAUACCCGGGCUUAACCUGGGAACGGCCUAUGGGACUGAUAGACUAGAGUAUGGCAGAGGGGGGUAGAAUUCCACGUGUAGCAGUGAAAUGCGUAGAGAUGUGGAGGAAUAUCGAUGGCGAAGGCAGCCCCCUGGGUUGAUACUGACACUCAAGCACGAAAGCGUGGGUAGCAAACAGGAUUAGAUACCCUGGUAGUCCACGCCCUAAACGAUGUCUACUAGUUGUUGGGGAAAAUAAAUUCUUUAGUAACGAAGCUAACGCGAGAAGUAGACCGCCUGGGGAGUACGGUCGCAAGAUUAAA
rnacentral:rRNA from 1 species